rnacentral:misc_RNA from 1 species
CUGAAGACAAUGGGAUCUUGAGACUGCGUCCAUAAUGACGUGUGCUCGGUCCUUACUCUUUCAUCCACACACACCUUUGUGCACUAUGGGGGACGUCAAGUCCCCCCUUUUCACACCAAACACCGAGUUUAUAUGCAUGUCUUUCAUAUACUCUAAGGAGUAAAUGUA